GGCUGAUUGAAGGUAGUGAAUUAUCUCAAUUGAUUGUUCAUGGUCAGUUACAGAUGGAAUUCCUUGUUCUACUCUUUUCCCUGUUGUCACUACUGCACUUGACUAGUAUAUA
ensembl:Y_RNA Y_RNA Y RNA